rnacentral:rRNA from 1 species
AGUUUGAUCCUGGCUCAGAUUGAACGCUGGCGGCAUGCUUUACACAUGCAAGUCGAACGGGGUUAAGGGGCUUGCUCCUUAAUCUAGUGGCGAACGGGUGAGUAAUGCAUCGGAACGUACCCGGGAGUGGGGGAUAACGCACCGAAAGGUGUGCUAAUACCGCAUAUUCUGUGAGCAGGAAAGCAGGGGACCUUAGGGCCUUGUGCUUCCGGAGCGGCCGAUGUCGGAUUAGCUAGUUGGUGAGGUAAAGGCUCACCAAGGCGACGAUCCGUAGCGGGUCUGAGAGGAUGAUCCGCCACACUGGGACUGAGACACGGCCCAGACUCCUACGGGAGGCAGCAGUGGGGAAUUUUGGACAAUGGGCGCAAGCCUGAUCCAGCCAUGCCGCGUGUCUGAAGAAGGCCUUCGGGUUGUAAAGGACUUUUGUCAGGAAGGAAAACCUAUUGGCUAAUAUCCAGUGGGGAUGACAGUACCUGAAGAAUAAGCACCGGCUAACUACG